AGAGUUUGAUCCUGGCUCAGGACGAACGCUGGCGGCACGCUUAACACAUGCAAGUCGAACGAGAGAAGAGGAGCUUGCUUUUCUGAUCUAGUGGCGGACGGGUGAGUAACACGUGAGCAAUCUGCCUUUCAGAGGGGGAUACCGAUUGGAAACGAUCGUUAAUACCGCAUAACAUAAUUGAACCGCAUGAUUUGAUUAUCAAAGAUUUAUCGCUGAAAGAUGAGCUCGCGUCUGAUUAGCUAGUUGGUAAGGUAACGGCUUACCAAGGCGACGAUCAGUAGCCGGACUGAGAGGUUGAUCGGCCACAUUGGGACUGAGACACGGCCCAGACUCCUACGGGAGGCAGCAGUGGGGAAUAUUGCACAAUGGAGGAAACUCUGAUGCAGCGAUGCCGCGUGAGGGAAGAAGGUUUUAGGAUUGUAAACCUCUGUCUUCAGGGACGAAAAAAGACGGUACCUGAGGAGGAAGCUCCGGCUAACUACGUGCCAGCAGCCGCGGUAAUACGUAGGGAGCGAGCGUUGUCCGGAAUUACUGGGUGUAAAGGGAGCGUAGGCGGGAUCGCAAGUCAGAUGUGAAAACUAUGGGCUUAACCCAUAAACUGCAUUUGAAACUGUGGUUCUUGAGUGAAGUAGAGGUAAGCGGAAUUCCUAGUGUAGCGGUGAAAUGCGUAGAUAUUAGGAGGAACAUCAGUGGCGAAGGCGGCUUACUGGGCUUUAACUGACGCUGAGGCUCGAAAGCGUGGGGAGCAAACAGGAUUAGAUACCCUGGUAGUCCACGCCGUAAACGAUGAUUACUGGGUGUGGGGGGACUGACCCCUUCCGUGCCGCAGCAAACGCAAUAAGUAAUCCACCUGGGGAGUACGACCGCAAGGUUGAAACUCAAAGGAAUUGACGGGGGCCCGCACAAGCAGUGGAGUAUGUGGAUUAAUUCGAAGCAACGCGAAGAACCUUACCAGGUCUUGACAUCGUAUGCAUAGCUCAGAGAUGAGUGAAAUCUCUUCGGAGACAUAUAGACAGGUGGUGCAUGGUUGUCGUCAGCUCGUGUCGUGAGAUGUUGGGUUAAGUCCCGCAACGAGCGCAACCCUUACUGUUAGUUGCUACGCAAGAGCACUCUAGCAGGACUGCCGUUGACAAAACGGAGGAAGGUGGGGAUGACGUCAAAUCAUCAUGCCCCUUAUGACCUGGGCCUCACACGUACUACAAUGGCUGUCAACAGAGGGAAGCAAAGCCGCGAGGUGGAGCGAACCCCUAAAAGCAGUCUUAGUUCGGAUUGUAGGCUGCAACCCGCCUACAUGAAGUCGGAAUUGCUAGUAAUCGCAGAUCAGCAUGCUGCGGUGAAUACGUUCCCGGGCCUUGUACACACCGCCCGUCACGCCAUGGGAGUCGGUAACACCCGAAGCCUGUAGUCUAACCGCAAGGAGGACGCAGUCGAAGGUGGGAUUGAUGACUGGGGUGAAGUCGUAACAAGGUA
rnacentral:rRNA from 1 species